UAGAGAGAGAGAGCGGGUCAGGUGAGAAAGAAGUGGAGACACCGGCAGUGCACGACAGGCAUGGAGCUCUUCCAUGGAACCGAACGAUGUCGGAAGAGGUGGAGCUAGGUUUCAGGGAUUGGUCUCCGGUGUAAUUCCUUUUAUCUUGAUUAAAUUCUCCAACUUUAGGUUGAAAUUUGGAUCUCCACCAUGGUAUAAGUGACAUGUUACAAUUACUCACGGCGGCUAGGGUUUUUAAGAUUCCAGUAUUAUGUGAUGUUAUGUAACCAAUGAACUGUGAACGUGAAUAUGUUACCACGAAGGAGAUAGACGCCCCAUGAAUAUGCCUUGAUAAUGAUUCAAUAAGGAGAACGAAUGGUGGAUAAGCUUGGACAUGCUAAGAUAUUAAUCACGUGAGGAUUCAGGUUACUUUGAUGGGGAACCAUUGAGUAUGGCAGAAGUAUGAUGGAUGUUCACAAAAUGAGCCAUGUUUUGAAUGCUAUCAUAUGGGGAAGGUGAUGAGGACUCUAAUCACAACUAUUGGGAGCUGGCAGAAGACAUGAGUACACCA